rnacentral:rRNA from 1 species
CUUUGAUCCUGGCUCAGGACGAACGCUGGCGGCGUGCUUCAUACAUGCAAGUCGAACGAUAAGGUCUCUUCGGAGAUACAUAAGUGGCGGACGGGUGAGUAAUAUGUAGGAAAUCUGCCCUAGAGAGGGGGACAACAGAAGGAAACUUCUGCUAAUACCCCAUAUGAGCGUACCUGAAAUGGUAUUCUUGAAAACUCCGGUGCUCUAGGAUGAGCCUGCAUCUGAUUAGCUAGUUGGUGGUGUAAUGGACUACCAAGGCGACGAUCAGUAGCUGGUUUGAGAGGAUGAUCAGCCACAAUGGGACUGAGACACGGCCCAUACUCCUACGGGAGGCAGCAGUAGGGAAUUUUGCGCAAUGGGCGAAAGCCUGACGCAGCAAUGCCGCGUGAAUGUUAAACCCUUCGGGGUGUAAAGUUCUGUCAGUGGGGACGAACAAAUGACGGUACCCACAGAGGAAGCACCGGCUAACUCCGUGCCAGCAGCCGCGGUAAUACGGAGGGUGCAAGCGUUGUCCGGAAUCAUUGGGCGUAAAGAGUUCGUAGGCGGUUUGUUAAGUUAGAUGUUAAAUACUGAGGCUCAACCUCAGCACGGCAUUUGAUACUGGCAGACUUGAAUGCGGUAGAGGUAAAGGGAAUUCCUGGUGUAGCGGUGAAAUGCGUAGAUAUCAGGAGGAACAUCGGUGUCGUAAGCGCUUUACUGGGCCGUAAUUGACGCUGAGGAACGAAAGCCAGGGUAGCGAAUGGGAUUAGAUACCCCAGUAGUCCUGGCCGUAAACGAUGGAUACUAGGUGUUGCGGGUAUCGACCCCUGCAGUGCCGUAGCUAACGCGAUAAGUAUCCCGCCUGGGGAGUACGCACGCAAGUGUGCAACUCAAAGGAAUUGACGGA